GUGACCUUGCCUCAGGGUGUGGCCGAGGUCAACUGUGCAACUGUCCUAGGUAGCUUAAACUGAGGAGGAAAUAUUUUCCCAGUGUUGGGAGCCGGACUCAGGUGGGGGUGAGGUUUGCCAAAUCUAGUACAGUUCCAGGCAUCAUUUUAGGGCAGAAUAUUCGUUUCCCUAAGCAAGGCUCCCACUUCAGGUAACCCUGGAAGAGCAUCUGAAAGUAGGUAGGGACUGAGGACAGGCCCUGGGCAGGGGAUUGGGAGUAAAUGGUCUUCUGACUAGAGCCUCUGCCUAGCUCUCCAAAGUCUCAGAUAAGUAAAUCCUAAAUUCAUUCAUUUACUGUUGCAAAUGGUUCCUUUACUCUACGGUGACAGCAGAGGGCAGCAUCACAACAGACAAGAGGGACACUCUGAAGAAGUAUAAAUAGACUUUCCUUAGAGUUCAUUCAUUGUACUGGGAGCAGGAGAGGGAUGACAAGGGUCUACAAAACAUUCUUGAAGCUGAAUUCACUUCCCUUUCCAGGACACUGGACUAAAAACUGUUGCUCAAACCAUUGCUUCAUUGAGAGUUAGAAAAACAUUUCCCCCAGGAAUUUGGGAAGCAAUACCCAGCCAUAGCAGGAUGUUCCCUCCUAGACACUCCAACUAGCUUGUGGGCCGGAACUUCUGCCUACUGAGGGCUUUAGUGCCCCGAUGGUGGCUCCUCAUUAGAGGCUCCCCCUGUCUGGGAACUAGAUUAACUUUAGAAACUGGGGAGAUGGCUCAGCUGAUAAAAUGUCUUCCAUGUAAGCAUUUGGAGCUGAUUCUGAUCCCCAGGACCCAGGCAAAAUGGCUAGAUAUGGUGGUGUAUACAUGAAAUCCCAGUGGAGAGGUAGAGAUAAGUAGAUGUGUGGGGAUCACUGGACAGGAAGCCUAGUCUAACGGUUAGUACCAGGCCAAAUACAAAACACUAUCUCAAGAAACAUGAUGAAUGGCAUGAGGAACAAAACCCAAGUCUGGCCUCUGAACUCCACAAUCUCCACAACCAGGCACAUAUGUGUAUAUGUACAUGUGUGUGCGCAUACACACACACACACACACACACACACACACACACACACACACACACACACCAACAACAACAACAAACAUAGUAGGAAAGCAAAAGGGAUAACCUCAUGCAUAAACUUCCUCAGAUGCCCACUUUUAAGAGAUGAGCAUAGAGCUGGAAGGUACAGGAGCCAAAAGUCAAGGUUGGGAACCAGGCCCGAAAGUAAACAUGAGGUUGGGCUUUUGGGAAAUGGAGGCACACACGGGUCCCUGCUUUUCUUUUGACUUUCUUUCUUUGCUGUGCAUCUUUAGUGGCCCCACUCCUUGCCCCUUUUUGCUGGGCAUUAAAGCUAGGAUCUUCCACAUUCCAAACACUACUGCAGAGACACAUCUCCAGCUGCAGAGUUCUGUUCUGACUUGUGUCUCACACGGGGUGUUUCACCAGUGUUUGAAAAAAGUUCUCCCCUUGCUUCUGAGAGUUGUCUCUUCUACAGUGAUGGAAGGCAGAGUCAUAGUCAACACUCAGAUGCCCUGUUCCUUCAGCUUUCUCUUGGGCACCAUCAUUGGGCAACUGGAGACAGCAAGCAGGCUGGGUGUGGAGGCAGAGAUAACAAUGAUCAAAAACCUACUAUGUGCCAGGUACCAUUAUAAACACACUAUUGAUUGACUCAGACGUCUUCACAAGAGCGAUAGAGGCAGGUGUUGUUAUUAGCUCCCUCUUACUGAUAAAGGAAUUGAAUUCCAGACAGGCUAGGCAAUAUGUUAAGAUCCCACAGCUAUUAAGUGGCAGUUGGGCAUAGAUACCAGCAGCCAGGUUCCACUAUGCCAUCUGAACUCCAGUUCAUUUUUCUCUACUUCCCAUUAAAAGAUAAUUGAACACUCUAAGGAGAAAGGUUCCAUCUUCUAUGGAUACAAUAUUCACAGUGGUCCCAGGAGGAAGGAGCAAAAUAAAAGGCUCUCAGGCCAGGAAAAUUCCUCUUUAAAGCAGAGUGGUAAGACAUAAAUCAUAAGCCUACAACAUAAGGGCAUAGCAGUGAAUCAGACAGAAGCAAUUCAACUGGACUUUCAGUAGAAAUCUCACUUUUAAAAGGUAAAACAAAAGCCAGGCAGUGUUGGCGCACGCCUUUAAUCCCAGCACUUGGGAGGCAGAGGCAGGCGGAUCUCUGUGAGUUCGAGACCAACCUGGUCUACAAGAGCUAGUUCCAGGACAGCCUCCAAAGCUACACAGAGAAACCCUGUCUCAACACCCCCCCCCCAAAAAAAAGGCAAGACAAGAAGCGAGGGAGCUACUUGGAGUGGAAUAUGGAAAAAAAUGAUCAAAGUGGGAGGGGUAAUUCAUUUCAUCUUACCUUGAGAGAAAUACUGGAGCUUUGAAAAGCUAAAGUCAAAGAUAGGCAGAAGCUAUAGUGAGCUAAAGUCAUAGAUAGGCAGAAGGUGAAAUAAAAUGAGUUCAUGUAGGAACUUUCUGGUCAGAGCAAGGCAAAGACAACACAUUGGGAAGGAUAAAUGCUCUCAAUGUCUUUACCCUAGCACUCCAAGUGGCAAGCCAGGACAUGCUGGCAGGUCAACAGCCUAGAAAAUAACACAGGGCCCUGCUACCUCCUGCAUAAAGUUCCCAGCUGGGCCUUACUCUUGAAUGCAAAUGGUCCAGCGAACUGAGGCUUAGAACAACUUUAGGGGCUUUCUUUUAUGUCAUUUGGAGUAGCCAAGUCAAUCUUGCCUUCUUUAGGUAAGGUUUUACUACAACCUCCUUUGUAGUCCUUAUGACUUAAGAAAUCCAAGUAGAGCUGGGCAGUGGUAGUGCACGCUUUUGAUCCCAGCACUCAGGAGGCAGAGGCAGGCAGAUCUCAGUGAGUUAAAGACCAGCUUGGUGUACAGAGUGAGUUCCAGGACUAUUACACAGAGAAUCCCUGUCUCUGGGAAAAAAGAAAGAAAAAAAUCCAAGUAGGGGAAAGACACAGAAGGACUCAGGGCCAUAGCCAGUCCGAAUGGGACUAGCAUGACAAACGCCAUUUAAUUCCUUCCUAUGCAGUUCCCUUUCCACUUCCCCUCUCCACCUGUUCUCUUCUCUUUUUGUCACUCUUCUCCCCUCCUUCUUCUCUCUCUCUCUCUCUCUCUCUCUCUCUCUCUCUCUCUCACACACACACACACACACACACACACACACAGUGUUGUCACUGUGCUGGCUUAGUAAUAUCCAAAGCAUUCUUAGUGUCCUCCUUUGCAAAUUAAUCCUAGUUCUCUAAGGUACUUUGGGAGAGACAAGCAUAAUUUUGUUUGAUGAUUUGUCCUUAACAGAUAUCACUCUCAUAGAAGGCAACAUGGUAGAGUCAGGCCUGGAUUCAAAUUCCAAUUCUGUCACAUAAUAAGGAGCUCAUCUGAGUGUUUGAUCUGCAAGAAGGGAAGGUUUCCUCCUACAUAAGGUGUUGGAGAGAGUCAGACAAUAUCAUGCAAAACCUUGUAUACAGGAUGCAUUUGACUUUUGCAACUAUGCUUUUGCACAGAGGCCAAGAAUCACUUGAACUGCAGCUAGAAAAUCAGAGCCUUAUUUCAAAGGCUCACUUCUUCACCAGUCGAAUCCAUCCAGUCCACCACUUCGCCAUUACUGAUCCCUGAGGAGAAACACCAGAGGAGGCUGAACAGAGUCCUACCACUAGCCCAUCAGGGAGGAUGGGUUAUAUAGUGAAGAAGGUCAGCCCAGAAACAACAAUGUACAGUGAAGACAGAAUGCUGUGGACAGCAAGCUGGCAAGCUGAGUCUACAAAUACUUGUGCCCCAGAGAUAAUCAGGAGACUGAAGGUUGAUGAAAUGGGACUUGAAAUGGCAUAAUGUCAAUUGGGGCUUAUUUUUAGUGGCUUUUUCAGAGCUCUGGUGUCUGACACCCCAUGCGAGAACUGCUACCCUUCUGUCAUUAGCAAUUUAACUUAAUUUUUUAGAGAAUAGUUUAUUGCAUAUACAGUAAAAAGGCAAUGGACUGGUUAAUAACUAGAGUACACAUAAGGCCUUAACAUUUUUCAAAUUCUCUCUUUUUAUGUUAUUAGAGACAGGAUUUCACACUGGAAUCCUGGCUGACCUUGAACUUGUGGCAAUCUUCCUGCCUCUGCCUGCCAAGUGCUGAGUCCAGAGGCAUGCAUAACCAUGCCCAAGCUCUGAAUACUUUUUUCUAUAGCUGUAAAUACUGGGACCAAAGUUAGGAUUAUGUGAUCUUACUCCUUACUUUUUUGUAUAGUAAUUCAUUCAUUCAAUGAACAUUUCCUGAGUGCCUACCCUAUGCCAGUUUGUGGAAGCAGUGAUGAACACACCAAAAAAUGUCCCUGCCCUUAGGCAGCUUACAUGUGAAUAGGAAAGACAAUCAUAAAGUCUCAAUGUAGGAUGUAACCUGGCAUAUUUGGAGAGCAAAGUAAGAAUUACGGUGAUUGGAACACAAUGAGUGAGUGAGAAAAUGAUACAGGAAGAAUAAGAAAGGAAGAGUCCAGAUUACGUGAGGUCUGCAGACUUAAUAAGAAUUCCUGAGGUGGGUGAAAGCUACCAAAUUAUUUUACACAGGGAGCCGACAUGAAGUAGCUUACAUGUGCAAAAAUAUUAGAGAUGUUUUCUGCUAGUUAUUCAUAUAUAGUUAUUAAUCGAGACCAAAAGAAUGAAUCUAGCAAAUAUGUCCAAGCAGAGCUGCAUGGAGCUGAGGAUAGCUAUGAAUGUGGCCCAACACAAAAUAAUAACUAAUUAAAACAAUGAAGUUCUUUUUA